CAUGUGAAAGUCCAGAACCCCAACCACCAUGCCACCUGCUGGCCCCCCACUGUCACCUUCUAUGGCUAAGAUCCCUACACAAAGACAGAUCCAGAGCACUCUUCCUGACAAAACUUCUCCGAAUUACCCCUUUGCCAGAGGCAUUCUCAGAUUUUGCCCUUCCCUGUCACCUCAACCUUGUCCAAGAAAUGUAGUCUUUGCUGUGCAGACUUCAAAACUCCUCCAAAACCAACAAGACUUCAAAAGGGCUUCAAGACCAAAUAAGCACACCAUUGUCAGCUAAGGUUUGACCUACAGAUUGGUUUAUGCUGGCUCAAGGUUCAUUAAAGAUAAAUGGGAUUACAUGAUUAAGCAUGAACAAUGCUGCUUACAGCUUUUGGGUAGGUGUAAGUGCUGACAGGCCUUAGGUAAACACAGUGAAGGAUGAGUUGCAAUUGCAGAGGCUGUUAGCCUAAGUUACGGCCACCUGUUGCUGGCACUUCUUUCAAGAUGACUGUUUUCUGUAACUUUUUCAAAAAGAAACCUCCAGAGACCCAGCGGUUUAGGAACAAAGACCUGAGACUUUAUUUCAUCUGUGUUUCUACCCGGUCUGCACAAUUGCUGGAGAGGCUAGACUGUCAAAACACCGCUUCCACACACAAAAAAGUGUCCAGCUGUGCAGAUCCUGACAAGAGGCACCCAACUGGGGCCUGAGUGCAGGAAAACAGCAAAGGAUCAGGCAAGGGGACACUCCCGAGUUCAGCCAGAGGCAACAGACGAAGAAUAUGGAACACUUAGCUUACCCAUGCUGCCACUUCAAGACAAGAGAAAUUUCCAGAGGGCCUUACAGAAGAUAGUGGGACAACAGCCGUUCUCUCCGGAUUGAUUUUGCUAACCUGACUUCUGCCCUCAUCCCCCUUCCAGUGACUGUGUCAUCAGUGCCAUGUAAAGAUCAUUUGUUUGGAGUAUGGACUAUAAGGAUAUAUUUGUUAUUGGGGCCAGCAGAUGGCAUAGUGGUUAUGGCACUGGGCUCUCACAUGGCCAACUGCAGUU